UCUAGCAGCCAUAUCACCCUGCAACUCACAACUGGCAACCCACUGAAGCCAAGCAGGUGUGAGCCUGGUCAGUACCUGGAUGGGAGACCUCCUGGGAAAAACUAAGGUUGCUGCUGGGA
ensembl:rRNA 5S_rRNA 5S ribosomal RNA